rnacentral:rRNA from 1 species
UGGGGAAUAUUGCACAAUGGGGGAAACCCUGAUGCAGCAACGCCGCGUGAAGGAAGAAGUAUUUCGGUAUGUAAACUUCUAUCGACAGGGAAGAAAAAAAUGACGGUACCUGAAUAAGAAGCCCCGGCUAAUUACGUGCCAGCAGCCGCGGUAAUACGUAAGGGGCAAGCGUUAUCCGGAUUUACUGGGUGUAAAGGGUGAGUAGGCGGUUCGGCAAGUCAUAUGUGAAAUUCUGAGGCUUAACCUCAGCGCUGCAUAAGAAACUGUCGGACUAGAGUGCAGGAGAGGCAAGCGGAAUUCCUAGUGUAGCGGUGAAAUGCGUAGAUAUUAGGAAGAACACCGGUGGCGAAGGCGGCUUGCUGGACUGUAACUGACGCUGAGUCACGAAAGCGUGGGGAGCGAACAGG